AGAACGAACGCUGGCGGCAUGCCUAAUACAUGCAAGUCGAACGAACUCUUCGGAGUUAGUGGCGCACGGGUGCGUAACGCGUGGGAAUCUGCCCCUUGGUUCGGAAUAACAGUUGGAAACGUCUGCUAAUACCGGAUGAUGACGAAAGUCCAAAGAUUUAUCGCCAAGGGAUGAGCCCGCGUAGGAUUAGCUAGUUGGUGAGGUAAAGGCUCACCAAGGCAACGAUCCUUAGCUGGUCUGAGAGGAUGAUCAGCCACACUGGGACUGAGACACGGCCCAGACUCCUACGGGAGGCAGCAGUAGGGAAUAUUGGACAAUGGGCGAAAGCCUGAUCCAGCAAUGCCGCGUGAGUGAUGAAGGCCUUAGGUUGUAAAGCUCUUUUACCCGAGAUGAUAAUGACAGUAUCGGAGAAUAAGCCCCGGCUAACUCCGUGCCAGCAGCCGC
rnacentral:rRNA from 1 species